rnacentral:rRNA from 1 species
CCCGUACACAAAAGUGCAUGUGUUGUGAACUCGAAGAGUAGGGCGGGACACGUGGUAUCCUGUCUGAAUAUGGGGGGACCAUCCUCCAAGGCUAAAUACUCCUGACUGACCGAUAGUGAACCAGUACCGUGAGGGAAAGGCGAAAAGAACCCCGGCGAGGGGAGUGAAAAAGAACCUGAAACCGUGUACGUACAAGCAGUGGGAGCCUCUUUAUGGGGUGACUGCGUACCUUUUGUAUAAUGGGUCAGCGACUUAUAUUCUGUAGCAAGGUUAACCGAAUAGGGGAGCCGAAGGGAAACCGAGUCUUAACUGGGCGUUAAGUUGCAGGGUAUAGACCCGAAACCCGGUGAUCUAGCCAUGGGCAGGUUGAAGGUUGGGUAACACUAACUGGAGGACCGAACCGACUAAUGUUGAAAAAUUAGCGGAUGACUUGUGGCUGGGG